UAGUCCAGCUUUUGGAUGGGGUGAGAAAGAAGGCAAUGGAGAAAGGAAAGGUCUGCAUUUCUGGAAUGACAAAGCUUUAAGUCACAAUGAUUGUAGCUUCCAAGUAGACCACUGAGGCCUCUCUCUGCCUUGACAUUUCAUCUACAGCUUCUGUGGCCAACUACUAGCGUCCAGUGUUGUUUCAGUUGAGAUUCCUGAUGAGCCCAGUUUUAUCUUUUUGCACCCUCCUUCAAUUUCCUUGUGUGUAAAAUGGGAUGACCAUCUCCUCGGUAAGAUGUCAGGUGGUGAGCACAGUGCCUGCAUGUGCUCUGUGAGGAACAGGAGCUGAGCAAGUGCCUACAGUCACCACGCUGCCUACAGUGUCCAGGGGAUUCUAGCCUGGAUAGGAAAACUGGCUUGGCUGAGUGGACUGUCCCAGGGUGAGGAUCUGGGAAUGAGCAUAUGGGGAUGGCAGACUACCACACGCCCUGGAAGCUGGAGAGGAAGGAGGCACCCAGGACAGAAGGUGAGGUUGCCCCAGGUCAACAACUUCCAGAUGAGAUCCACCUUGAGUCAUGAUCCUCAGAUGCCAAGCCACAGGAACCUCAUCACCCACCUCAUCAUCCAAACUGGAACUUGAUGGAAAUCAUUCCACAACUAUGUGUUGGUGGGUUGUCUUCUUAAUACUUGGAAGGAGGUCUUAAUACUUAUCCCACUGAAAUCAUGCUACCUACACCUAGCAAAACAUACAUCAAAGAAAAACUUCUAACUGGGUAUAUCACAUGCCCACUGUACUAACACACUGGAGAACCCCCAACAACAGGAGGCCCGGGGAGAGUCCCUGACCCACAGGGACUUCAGGUCAAGACCACACCCACCAUCCUUUCAAGGUGGAGACAGUCCCCGUAGGAACCAAACUGAUGUAUAAUAAAACUCAUCAUUUAUUUCUCUUCUCCCUACAGCAUUUCAGCCAGUGAAUGGUAGAAUUUUGCAGGAAUAAGAAUUAGAGGUGUAGAGGGUUUUGAGAUGCGGGGUGGGUCAGGUUUCACUACUCAAGGACCCUAAGACAGGUUUUUGGAAGAAGUGUGUGUGUGUGUGUGUGUGUGUGUGUGUGUGUGUGUAGGACCACAUUCAGCCACUCCCAUGGGCAAGUAUGACAUAUGACCACUCCUCUCUUCUUGCCCCCUGGCCUCCUUAACCUAGAAGUCACCUUGCUGGCUCAUGGGAUUCCUUGAUACUUCUGCAAUCCAGCUUCUCCGCUCCAACAGGCUGUCCCUGCCCAGCUGAGCUGGCCCACCCAGGGUUCCCUCACAGUGCUAUGGGCCUCCACUGGCCCCCUCUGCACAGCCCAUCCUCUCCAAUCUUUCUUUCCAAAGUGAAAUCUACCAAUGCUUACUCUUUGGCUCUGGCCACAUGAGAGACAGACAGACAUACAGACACACACUUCUUUCUUUUUGCCUUGGCUCACCACUAUUCAAUGCCUGGAAGCCUUAUUUUCUCCCUUGGGAACCUCCACUCAGUCUUUACAACUGUCAUCUCCUCCAGGAAGUCAUCCCUGCUCUUCUUCC
rnacentral:lncRNA from 10 species